UGUUUCAAUCUGAAGCUCUGUCUCUCUCUUCUCUUGCCGUGAAUCGCCUCCAUCCACAUGAAGGUUGCACUGAAUCUCUCUCUAUCCACCCUCGCGAGUCCUCUCCGUCGAAUGCUCCUGCAUCUUCGUGUAUCAUUACCGUUUUGGUUCGAGUUUGGAGGUUUCAACUCAGUUUAGAGUUUGGAUUCGAGAAGCUUUUUCACAGGUUUGUUUUGAUUUCAAAUCGAGUUUUGUUUCAGUUCAGAAUUGGUUGCAUUUUGGAAUUCUGGCAUUUUUACGGUUUCGACUCAAUUACGUGUUCUAUUACUGGGUUCUAUUACAGUUUGAUUGUGAUUUGAUUUUGGUGAAGAGUUUGAAUUAAAAUUAACACGAGUAUACAACUUCAUAAACCUAAAUUGGAUGAGCACUUACCGGUUGAAAUGAAGAAAAAUGCGGAUUUCGUUCUCGCUCGCAAGGUGUUCGAUGAAAUGUCCCAACCGGAUUAUUUCUUUCUCGCUCGCUCAUAUUGCGGCACUAGAGGUUGAUCCUCCAGGAUGCUCUUUUAAUCCCACGCAUGAAAGUCAUCAGAGAAGAAGCAGGCCAAGAAGGGAAAAAAGUAAAAACAGAACAGAAUGUUUGUUAACAAAAACUUUAUGGAUGAUCAAGAGAUUGUUCGAGGGUCGUUGACAAUGAUCCUGCUCUCAAAAACGUUAUGUCUUCUUAGCCAGAUGUUGUUUGCAAUGAAUGAAAACAAGGAGUCUUGUCUACACUUUCUGAAAGGAUGAUGAAUUACUUACUAAUGUCUGUAAUUAUGUAAGCUCGUCUUUUGUUUAUAAAUCUUAGUAUUGUUCUUUAAAUGUUGGGUAAUACCUUUCAACAAACCAUUAGACUUUUCAUUUAGUAGGUGUUAUAUUUUUAAGUGGCUAUUAUUAUAUUAAAAAGAAAUAAUUAGUGACAAUUAAUAUAUAACUAGGGACAAUCACAUUUUAUUAAUUGUAUAUGGUUACAGGGGUGAGAAGACUUUGGUUCUUUCAACCCUUAUCCAAAAGACAAACGCCCAGGAAAUGAAGUGGAUUAUCAUGAUAAUCCUGAAAGAUUUGAAGCUAGGAAUUAGUGAAAAAAAGCAUUUUUCAUGAAUUCCAUCCAGAUGCUGAAGACUUGUUUAAUGUUACAUGUGACUUAAAAUUAGUUUGUGAAAAACUAAGGGAUCGGAACCAACGUCAUAAGCGGCAGGAUAUUGAAGUUGGAAAAGCUGUGCGGCCUCAAUUAGCUAAGAGAGUUGCUAACGCUGCUGAAGCAUGGAAGAAGGUU